AAGUAAUUAAUACCUCAGACUGAAUCAUGCUGUCCAUAGAAUGCAAAUGGAAGUCUCAACACUGACUCAUGGAAAUGGAAAAGUAGGCAAUUGCUGCUGUAGGACUCUUCCUCAGUGACUCAAUGGCUAGAACAGAGGGCAGACACUGUGUUGUAGAAAAAGCAGACAGCGCCACUCUUGUUAAGCAAACAAGCCAGCAGACAGCACAGAGUAUAGACAACAGUACAGUAGGCAACAAAGAACAAAGCUGUUAAGAGAUAAAGUAAACUUUCCCCAAAGGCUAUUAUCAGAGACCGCAUUCCAUCUAUUGUAACAUAAAUGCCCAGGUCUUAUAACAUACUAUAACAUACUAUCCAGUUGGUAAGUAGUGCAAGUCAGUUUGUAUUGUAUAUAUGUAAACAGAUAAAAUAAAAGACUCUGUUUUCUGAUGCAUUGUCAUCUGAUUAUGUGAGACAGAUGCUUUGGUUGUUGUUAAAGAAGAUGCAAUACAAUCCUUUUUCUUUACAGUAUUUUUGGUAAAGGAAUUUUAUAUAAUAAUUUGGUACCUUAAGUAGAAUUGGAAGGGGUUGACUGCAGUGGUGGGUUUCAAAAUUUUUUACUACCGGUUCUGUGGGUGUGGCUUUGUGGGCGUGGCAGUGAAAGGAUACUGUAAAAUCUCCAUUCCCACCCCACUCCAGGGGAAGGUUACUGCAAAAUCUCCAUUUCUUCCCGAUCAGCUGGGACUUGGGAGGCAGAGAUGGGCCAGUCAGAAUUUUUACUACCAGUUCUCCGAACUACUCAAAAUUUCCGCUACCGGUUCUCCAGAACUGGUCAGAACCUGCUGAAAUCCACCUCUGGUUGACUGGUGAACAAAAAUUAUGCCCACAAAUGAUUUCAUCCUUGUCCUAAUUCCUCUCAGAUCCCCUCUCCAAUUCAAACUUGGUAAAGAUAAAAAAUGGGUAAGCUGGCAAAAAGAAAAGACCCAACAUCCUGGGUGACUCCUGUGGCAUGUGUUCAGUGAUUGGUCUUUAUACCAUCAUCAAUAUCUUAAAUUCUAUCCCUGCAUGUGGGAUCAGAAAGGCUGAAACACUUGAAUCACUGAUCCAGCUAAUGCAAAAUAAUUAAGGAAGUGAGAGUGUGAACUAUAGACAUUGAUGGAAUGGAUGGACACCUAACAAUCCUUAACACAAAUAUUGGGUAUAAAUACCUGUGAAUUGGAUAAAUAUUAUUUUAUUUUAAAAGACCAUCAAUAUAUAAAGGUAGGUAGAAGUAUAAUGAAGACUUAUAAGCAGAAAGGGAAAAAUGCUAAGUGUUUUAAUCUAGGUAAAUUUAAUUAAACUCAAUUUAGAAAUAAAUCCCUGAAGACACAGGGAGCACAACUACUCAUUGCAGUCACAUGAAAAUUGUCUUCAAUGCUUAUGACAGCACCACCUAUAUGUAAAAUCAGAGAAAUGUGCAUUUGACACAUCAAAGUUGAAUUCCUAGAUUACCCUAUUUUCUGUCCUUUGAUCUCUGCAAAUAAUAAGGGAGAUGACCUUGAGACAAAUAUGCAAGACUAUUACAUAAACAGAGACAGCUGAUACAUUCUUUAAAUUCUGGGAAGCAAAGUAUUAUCUGGAAGGUGCUCAGGCAAGGAUCUCUCUGAUUCGCUAAGGUUUAAGAAGGAAAGGAGGUAAAGCAUUAUCAGGCUUGCAAGAUUCUGUUACUUUAGCCAAUCUCAAUCUAGUUCUAAUUUUCUUGUGGAACUGAUUUUCUGGUCUAGUUUACCUAGUCUAUCUAUUCUAGAGAGUUGGGGAGAUGGCUUCUGUUGGAAAUAUGAAAGAAUGAUUUCCUAUAUACAAAGGAUGCUGAAACAUCUUUUAAGAUCUAACAAACAAGAGAGCGCUCAGAAGUAGCUCA